rnacentral:rRNA from 2 species
GUCGAACGAACUCUGGUAUUGAUUGGUGCUUGCAUCAUGAUUUACAUUUGAGUGAGUGGCGAACUGGUGAGUAACACGUGGGAAACCUGCCCAGAAGCGGGGGAUAACACCUGGAAACAGAUGCUAAUACCGCAUAACAACUUGGACCGCAUGGUCCGAGCUUGAAAGAUGGCUUCGGCUAUCACUUUUGGAUGGUCCCGCGGCGUAUUAGCUAGAUGGUGGGGUAACGGCUCACCAUGGCAAUGAUACGUAGCCGACCUGAGAGGGUAAUCGGCCACAUUGGGACUGAGACACGGCCCAAACUCCUACGGGAGGCAGCAGUAGGGAAUCUUCCACAAUGGACGAAAGUCUGAUGGAGCAACGCCGCGUGAGUGAAGAAGGGUUUCGGCUCGUAAAACUCUGUUGUUAAAGAAGAACAUAUCUGAGAGUAACUGUUCAGGUAUUGACGGUAUUUAACCAGAAAGCCACGGCUAACUACGUGCCAGCAGCCGCGGUAAUACGUAGGUGGCAAGCGUUGUCCGGAUUUAUUGGGCGUAAAGCGAGCGCAGGCGGUUUUUUAAGUCUGAUGUGAAAGCCUUCGGCUCAACCGAAGAAGUGCAUCGGAAACUGGGAAACUUGAGUGCAGAAGAGGACAGUGGAACUCCAUGUGUAGCGGUGAAAUGCGUAGAUAUAUGGAAGAACACCAGUGGCGAAGGCGGCUGUCUGGUCUGUAACUGACGCUGAGGCUCGAAAGUAUGGGUAGCAAACAGGAUUAGAUACCCUGGUAGUCCAUACCGUAAACGAUGAAUGCUAAGUGUUGGAGGGUUUCCGCCUUUCAGUGCUGCAGCUAACGCAUUAAGCAUUCCGCCUGGGGAGUACGGCCGCAAGGCUGAAACUCAAAGGAAUUGACGGGGGCCCGCACAAGCGGUGGAGCAUGUGGUUUAAUUCGAAGCUACGCGAAGAACCUUACCAGGUCUUGACAUACUAUGCAAAUCUAAGAGAUUAGACGUUCCCUUCGGGGACAUGGAUACAGGUGGUGCAUGGUUGUCGUCAGCUCGUGUCGUGAGAUGUUGGGUUAAGUCCCGCAACGAGCGCAACCCUUAUUAUCAGUUGCCAGCAUUAAGUUGGGCACUCUGGUGAGACUGCCGGUGACAAACCGGAGGAAGGUGGGGAUGACGUCAAAUCAUCAUGCCCCUUAUGACCUGGGCUACACACGUGCUACAAUGGAUGGUACAACGAGUUGCGAACUCGCGAGAGUAAGCUAAUCUCUUAAAGCCAUUCUCAGUUCGGAUUGUAGGCUGCAACUCGCCUACAUGAAGUCGGAAUCGCUAGUAAUCGCGGAUCAGCAUGCCGCGGUGAAUACGUUCCCGGGCCUUGUACACACCGCCCGUCACACCAUGAGAGUUUGUAACACCCAAAGUCGGUGG